CAUCUCUGCCAGUUGGUGUGAGGGCUCUCAGAGAUGCCAGAGAAGGCCCUGUCUCUGUCUUCAGGUGCAGAGACAGACGUGAGGCCCUUGGCUUUGCACGUGCAUCCCAGACACUCUGGACUCCUGUUUCCUUGGCCACGACUGGCCUGCUCUCUCUUAGUGCCUGCCAGCUCUGGCUCCAUUGUUGAAAAGCCCCAUUAGGGCAAUUAUUUCUGUGUCUUAGUGCAUAUGGCACUCAUCAGUUUAUAAAAAACAAGUAGGAGACAAACAGAAGCGCAUAUAUUUGUAAUGUGAAGAUUAUAUCUCUUAAUGUAAGAAAUUUAAUUAUUAUUUUACUUUUUACUGAGCACUUGCUAGGCACCAGGUCCUGUGUGUCACGUGAAUGAUGCCACAGAGCCAUCACAAGCCACCUGCUGAGGGGCACUAGUGCCAUCCCCAUUUAACAGCUCCGGGGAAUAGAAAUCUGUUUUCCCACAGUUAUAAGAGUCGAAACCCUUGAAGUGUUAGGAUGCAAAUUUGUAUCGCCAGCAUGAUCCCACUUUUGGAAAGGAAAAGCUUCAAGAAAGUUCUGUGCACAAAUCCCGUAAAAUCCCAUAUUGUAGAGCUGACACUGAGCCUACCCAGAAGAAAAUCUGCUAAUGAUCACUGCUUGCCAGGAGCCUGCAGAAAUGAUCAGACAUGUCACAACCCCCAUGCCUGCCUCCUGUCUAAGCUCUUUCUAAUAAGGACUCUUUUCAUGAGUUUAUAAAAACACUUUGUUUGGAUCAUGUUGGGUCUUUAUUUCAUCUUACUUGAAUGCUGAAAGUC